ensembl:lncRNA
UUCAUUAAUCAUCCUCCUCAAAUGUGUCCCAGGACGAACAGGCGCGUUUCUCCGAAAUCACGGAGCUGUCACAGACGACGGCUCUUUAAAUCCCAAACCCUCGCGAGUUUCACAGCAUCAGCGUGAUUUCAGUCCCUUCUUCAUCUGUCAUCCUCUCACAUUAGCCUCGGUGGGAGGAGAAGCUCAGGGGAAUGAGUCUACAGCUCCCCGAAUAACGAGAAGAGAACCAGUCAGCUGUGUCAUGUUAAAACGGAACCGGACAGAUUUAUAUGAAGUUAUCGUUUCAUUGGUUUUGUUAAUAAGGGCCCCCGGUUGAGCUGUUGAUGAAAGAACAGAGGCUCGUGCACUGAGCAGACAGUGAUGGAUGAGAUAAAGAGUGCAUUCGAGGGAAUCUUCAGCAGAUGAGCAGGAUGUUCAGAAUAUAAGACUGUAAUGACUCUGUGGAGAAGUCAGCAUCGCAGCCUUCAGUCGCGCACUUGUGCUGUCUUUCUUAUUUAGACAAAAGCAUGACAGGAGUUUUGCGACCCUCCAAACAGAGACCCAGUAUGAAGCGACCUCGAAAUGAGCCUUACAGGGUUUUCGAUUAUCAACAUGUUCCGAUGUCUGUGACGACCAUCCCGUGUGACUUCGCAUCUUUUCGACGGACGUGUUCCUCUCCCUCUUUUUCUUCUGCAGCCCUGCGGCAUAGCAGAGAAAAACCUCAGAGCAGACACAAGUCCAGGAGCAGAGGAACCCAGCUAAGAAUGGAGGAGCUGAUGUGCAUUAAGAAAGAACUGACAGUGAUUAAAUCACAGAUAGACGAGCUGCUGAACAGUCUGGAGCGGAUGGACCCUCAAAGCCAUGAGCUGUCAGGAGACGGCGUGGCGUUCUCUCCGCUCCAUGGCUCUGUGAGCAGUGCGGACGAUUCAUCUGGUAGCUCUCCUCCCCUGAGGACAGACAGAGACACACAGAGCCCAGAGACAGCAGACAGCAGUGAUGAAAACAGACAGCAUGUUAAUUACUAUGAAUCAGAUUUGCUCUACAUGUAAACACAGGUUUCAGAUUCCCAGUUCAGAUACCAAGUUUUUGGGGAAAAGUCACAGGAUCUCUAAUGAUGGUGUAAAGAAAAGCACCGGCAAGUAAGAAAAACAAUAUCUGGAUCAUUUCCAAAUAUCCAGAUCCGUUCAGAGUUUCAUCAUGUGAACUGAACAUUAAUCCAGUUUGAAUCCGGUUGUGGAGCAGCUGUCUAAACAGACCAGAACAAACAGAACUAUGUGUCGUCAAACGCUGCUGAUGAUUUCAGGAGUUAUUUGAACACAAGCUGUUUUUCCAUUAUUAAAGUCAAUACUGAUAAGACUCAAGAUCAACAUUAAAGGAUACCACACACACACACACACACACUACGUUAUUGCAGAUAUCCUACAUAAAUCAUUUUAUGGUUCUACACAUUAAAUUGCUGAUGCUAAUAAGGAUAUCUACAUGUCUAUCAACUGAUAGACCCUGAUAUAUUAAAAAAUUGCUAAAUUAUGUGUAUUUAUGAGCCAUAUCUGAAACUUAAGAUUUAACCUGAGAUGUACAUAAACUCCUAUUUUAACCGAAAUGUCAUUAAAAUUCACAUAAUGUAUAAUAAUUAUUCAUACAGUAAUCAGUAAUUCAUAAUUUUGUUUAGUCCAUCAUCUACCUCUGUUACCAACUAGACAUGGUUUCUGCUCAUUGCAAGUGAUAUGUAAAUAUCUCCUCAUUAACAGCUCUGGCCAGUUUAGUGUUAAGACUAGAUUUACUGUAUGAUCAGGAAAAGGUUUUGUUGUUGUUGUUGUUUUUUAAUGGGAAAAUUUAGUAAAGUCCACACACUUGUUUGUUUUUUAAUAAGGCAUACAAUAAUAAAGUGGUUUUCUGCUGCA